CUUCAGAUAAGUCUAUGCCCUCUGUAGCAGGGUGUUUUACAGUCUUCCAUAAACAGAUCUUGUGUUACCAAAUCAUAGCAAAGAAAGAACACUUGGCCAUGGGACGCCAGGAAGGAUGAAAGAUACCAAGCUGCAGAUUCAAGAAGUUUUAUGAAGCAUGUUACACAGAGUGCACUGGCAACUGGCAGAAAAGAAGGGAAGAAGACUUAUUGCAUAAGUUAUUUAUGGACUCUCUCAAUCAUAUUACUUAUAGGAUAAGGAUGAUUCAGAAAGUAGUCUGGGAAAUAGGAUAGCCAUAAACUUCAAUAGACUACUUACUGUAUUAUCUCAUCUAACUCAACAGUAGUGUAGACGUUAUAGUAUUUUCGCUUCUAAGUUCCAAAUGAGAAAGAAUGAGUAAUGUUUAUUUUCUCAAGUUCACACAGUUGCAUGGACUCCAAAUGCAAUCCAUGUUUGUUUGACAUAACAGCCCUAACUCUAUACUAUUCCAUUCUGCAACAUUUCAAUCAUGCGAACAUAUAAAUUUAUUUUUAGUCCCCCAAAA